UACGUAGGGUGCAAGCGUUGUCCGGAAUAUUGGGCGUAAAGAGCUCGUAGGCGGUUUGUUGCGUCGGCUGUGAAAACCUGAGGCUCAACCUCAGGCCUGCAGUCGAUACGAGCAGACUAGAGUGUUGCAGGGGAGACUGGAAUUCCUGGUGUAGCGGUGAAAUGCGCAGAUAUCAGGAGGAACACCGGUGGCGAAGGCGGCAUUCUGGACCGACAUUGACGCUGAGGAGCGAAAGCCAGGGGAGCAAACAGG
rnacentral:rRNA from 1 species